UCCUCCUCUAGCUUAAGUAUUGUUUGGUUAAGAGGAAGCAUGGCCGGCUUCUCAUGCAGUCUUCCAUGCAGUAGAGUCCAGAUUGAGAAACAUGUGUUUCAAGCUCAAUCAAUAAGGACUCUUUUAUAUUGGUAGUUUAAUACUACUAAUAUGUGCACUAAGUGGAUGUGAGAAGCAUUGCCUCAUGGAGACUACUACAUCGAAUCCCUUAGUGAAUUGUUUGGGAUUCGGAUAGGGAUUGUUCACUCGAGGACUAAAGUGGUUGUUUGGGAGCACAUGGUGGAUGGUUAUCGUGUUGGACUAGAGUUUGACGCUCACUAAACUAUAAAUCAACCUUGUUUAUACAAAUUUCUAAGUCUGCUGAUUUAUUUUGCUUUAUUUUGCAUUGUCUGUUGUUGUUUUUUUUUUGUUUUUGUGCCAGUUCUUCAAUAAUAGUUUUGUAUCCU